UUAUGGCCACACCAGGUUGAAACUUUUGUUUCCCAUAUGAUCAUCAAAGUUAAGCAAUAUCAAGCCUGGUCAAUACCUAGAUGGAUGACCACUUGGGAAUACCAGGUGCUGUAAG